GUCGGGUAUAGUGGCCCGUGCCUGUAAUCCCAGCGGCUUGGGAGGCUGAGGCAGGAGCAUCGCAAGUUCAAAGCCAGCCUCAGCAACUUAGCAAGGUACUUAGCAACUCAGUGAGACCCUGUCACUA
rnacentral:sRNA from 1 species